rnacentral:sRNA from 1 species
GCAAGGCAUGGUGGCACAUACCUGUAAUCCCAGCAGCUUGGGAGGCUGAGGCAGGAUGAUUGCGAGUUCAAAGCCAGCCUCAGCAAAAGCAAGGCGCUAAGCAACUCAGUGAGAUCCUGUCUCUA